rnacentral:rRNA from 1 species
AUGAACGCUAGCUACAGGCUUAACACAUGCAAGUCGAGGGGCAGCGGGAUUGAAGCUUGCUUCAAUUGCCGGCGACCGGCGCACGGGUGAGUAACGCGUAUCCAACCUUCCGCUUACUCGGGGAUAGCCUUUCGAAAGAAAGAUUAAUACCCGAUGGUAUCUUAAGCACGCAUGAGAUUAAGAUUAAAGAUUUAUCGGUAAGCGAUGGGGAUGCGUUCCAUUAGGCAGUUGGCGGGGUAACGGCCCACCAAACCUACGAUGGAUAGGGGUUCUGAGAGGAAGGUCCCCCACAUUGGAACUGAGACACGGUCCAAACUCCUACGGGAGGCAGCAGUGAGGAAUAUUGGUCAAUGGGCGAGAGCCUGAACCAGCCAAGUAGCGUGAAGGAUGACGGCCCUACGGGUUGUAAACUUCUUUUGUGCGGGAAUAAAGGAACCUACGUGUAGGUUUUUGCAUGUACCGUAACGAAUAAGCAUCGGCUAACUCCGUGCCAGCAGCCGCGGUAAUACGGAGGAUGCGAGCGUUAUCCGGAUUUAUUGGGUUUAAAGGGAGCGUAGACGGGUUUUUAAGUCAGCUGUGAAAGUUUGGGGCUCAACCUUAAAAUUGCAGUUGAAACUGGAGACCUUGAGUACGGUUGAGGCAGGCGGAAUUCGUGGUGUAGCGGUGAAAUGCUUAGAUAUCACGAAGAACCCCGAUUGCGAAGGCAGCCUGCUAAGCCGCCACUGACGUUGAGGCUCGAAAGUGCGGGUAUCAAACAGGAUUAGAUACCCUGGUAGUCCGCACGGUAAACGAUGGAUACUCGCUGUUGGCGAUAGACAGUCAGCGGCCAAGCGAAAGCGUUAAGUAUCCCACCUGGGGAGUACGCCGGCAACGGUGAAACUCAAAGGAAUUGACGGGGGCCCGCACAAGCGGAGGAACAUGUGGUUUAAUUCGAUGAUACGCGAGGAACCUUACCCGGGCUUGAAAGUUAGUGACGAUUCUGGAAACAGGAUUUCCCUUCGGGGCACGAAACUAGGUGCUGCAUGGUUGUCGUCAGCUCGUGCCGUGAGGUGUCGGCUUAAGUGCCAUAACGAGCGCAACCCUUGCUGCCAGUUACUAACAGGUCAUGCUGAGGACUCUGGCGGGACUGCCAUCGUAAGAUGCGAGGAAGGUGGGGAUGACGUCAAAUCAGCACGGCCCUUACGUCCGGGGCUACACACGUGUUACAAUGGGGAGUACAGAGGGCAGCUACCGGGCGACCGGAUGCGAAUCCCGAAAGCUCCUCUCAGUUCGGACUGGAGUCUGCAACCCGACUCCACGAAGCUGGAUUCGCUAGUAAUCGCGCAUCAGCCACGGCGCGGUGAAUACGUUCCCGGGCCUUGUACACACCGCCCGUCAAGCCAUGAAAGCCGGGGGUACCUGAAGUACGUAACCGCGAGGAUCGUCCUAGGGUAAAACCGGUAAUUGGGGCU